CAGGUCUUGACAUCCUCUGACACACCUAGAGAUAGGACGUUCCCCUUCGGGGGACAGAGUGACAGGUGGUGCAUGGUUGUCGUCAGCUCGUGUCGUGAGAUGUUGGGUUAAGUCCCGCAACGAGCGCAACCCUUGAUCUUAGUUGCCAGCAUUCAGUUGGGCACUCUAAGGUGACUGCCGGUGACAAACCGGAGGAAGGUGGGGAUGACGUCAAAUCAUCAUGCCCCUUAUGACCUGGGCUACACACGUGCUACAAUGGAUGGUACAAAGGGCUGCAAAACCGCGAGGUCGAGCCAAUCCCAUAAAACCAUUCUCAGUUCGGAUUGUAGGCUGCAACUCGCCUACAUGAAGCUGGAAUCGCUAGUAAUCGUGGAUCAGCAUGCCACGGUGAAUACGUUCCC
rnacentral:rRNA from 1 species